UGGGGAAUAUUGCACAAUGGGCGCAAGCCUGAUGCAGCCAUGCCGCGUGUAUGAAGAAGGCCUUCGGGUUGUAAAGUACUUUCAGCGGGGAGGAAGGGAGUAAAGUUAAUACCUUUGCUCAUUGACGUUACCGACAGAAGAAGCACCGGCUAACUCCGUGCCAGCAGCCGCGGUAAUACGGAGGGUGCAAGCGUUAAUCGGAAUUACUGGGCGUAAAGCGCACGCAGGCGGUUGAUUGAGUCAGAUGUGAAAUCCCCGGGCUUAACCCGGGAAUUGCAUCUGAUACUGGUCAGCUAGAGUCUUGUAGAGGGGGGUAGAAUUCCAUGUGUAGCGGUGAAAUGCGUAGAGAUGUGGAGGAAUACCGGUGGCGAAGGCGGCCCCCUGGACAAAGACUGACGCUCAGGUGCGAAAGCGUGGGGAGAAAACAGG
rnacentral:rRNA from 1 species